rnacentral:rRNA from 1 species
CCGAUUAAACUGCGAAUGGCUCAUUAAAACAGUUAUAGUUUAUUUGAUACAUUAAAUGGAUAACUGUAGAAAAACUAGAGCUAAUACAUGCCAAAGCCUCACGGUUGUAUUUAUUAGAUAUUCCAAUUAGGUGAAUCAUAAUAACUUCGCAAAUCUCGGUUUUGCCGAGAUAAAUCAUCCAAGUUUCUGCCCUAUCAUGCUUUCGAUGGUAGUGUAUUGGACUACCACCGGCCCCCACGGGUAACAGGGAAUUAGGGUUCGAUUCUGGAGAAGGAGCCUGAGAAACGGCUACUACAUCUACGGAAGGCAGCAGGCGCGUAAAUUACCCAAUCCUGACUCAGGGAGGUGGUGACAAGAUAUAACAACGCAAUUUCAUUGUGAUUGUAGUGAGGGUAUUCCAAACCGAACCACUAGUACGAUUAGAGGGCAAGUCUGGUGCCAGCAGCCGCGGUAAUUCCAGCUCUAAUAGCGUAUAUUAAAGUUGCUGCAGUUAAAAGCUCGUAGUUGGAUUUCAGGAUUGUGUACUCUCUCAGAGUAUGCACCC